AAAGUCGUAACAAGGUUUCCGUAGGUGAACCUGCGGAAGGAUCAUUACUGAUUUAGCGGACCGAGCGUUAGCGAGGUUCUGCGAUCAAUUUAUAUUUAAAACCCACUCUUGAAUGUAUAAAAUUUUUAUGUAUUAAUGAUAAAAUAAAAGAUCACUUUCAACAACGGAUCUCUUGGCUCUC
rnacentral:misc_RNA from 1 species